rnacentral:rRNA from 1 species
GAUGAACGCUGGCGGCGUGCCUAAUACAUGCAAGUCGAGCGAACGGACCAGAAUCUUGCUUCUCUGAUGUUAGCGGCGGACGGGUGAGUAACACGUGGAUAACCUACCUAUAAGACUGGGAUAACUUCGGGAAACCGGAGCUAAUACCGGAUAAUAUUUUGAACCGCAUGGUUCAAAAGUGAAAGACGGUCUUGGUGGCACUUAUAGAUGGAUCCGCGCUGCAUUAGGUAGUUGGUAAGGUAACGGCUUACCAAGGCAACGAUGCAUAGCCGACCUGAGAGAGUGAUAGCCGACACUGGAGCUGAGACGCGCUCCAGGGUCCUAAGGGAGGCAGCAGUAGCGAAUCGUCCGCAAUGGGCGGAAGCCUGACGGAGCAGCGCCGCGUGAGUGAUGAAGGUCUUCGGAUCGUAAAACUCUGUUAUGAGGGAAGAACAUAUGUGUAAGUAACUGUGCAGAUCUUGACGGUACCUAAUCAGAAAGCCACGGCUAACUACGUG